GUCUGGAUCGCUUAGAGGUCAGAGCAUCUGCCUUGUAAGCAGGAGGCCUGGGUUUGAAUCCCAGUUCGGCACA
rnacentral:tRNA from 1 species